rnacentral:rRNA from 1 species
UUCAGGGAGGAAUAAAUGACGUGUACCUGAAGAAUAAGCAUCGGCUAACUCCGUGCCAGCAGCCGCGGUAAUACGGGAGGGGCAAGCGUUAUCUAGAAUAACUGGGCGUAAAGAGUCCGUAGAUUGUACUGUAAGUUAGUUGUUAAAGACUAAAACUUAAUUUUAGAAAAGCUUCUAAUACUACUGUACUUGAGUUUUUUGCAGAAAAGUAGAAUUUCAUGUUGAGGAGCAACGCCUUAAGACACAUGAAGGAAUACCUAGAGCGAAGGCAACUUUUUGGUAAAAACUGACGUUGAGGGACGAAAGUGUAGGGAGCAAACAGGAUUAGAGACCUUGGUAGUCUACACUGUAAAUUCUGAAUGCUGGAAUUUAGUACAAAAUAAUACUAGAUUGUUUUAAGCUAACGCGAUAAGCAUUCCGCCAGAGGAGUACGGUCGCAAGGCUGGAACUCAAAGGAAUUGACGGGGGCCUACAACAAGUGGUGGAGCAUGUGGUUUAAUGCGAUAAUCCGCGCAAAACCUUACCAACCCUUGACAUAGUAAAAAA